UACUCGGCCUGGGUUCCAUGCUUCUUGGCUGGCCUAGCAUCCUCGUGGGUGGCCAGGCUGGGGCCAAGGUUGGGCAGCAGGUCUGGGCACAGCCUCUGCCCCACAGCCCAGGUCCACAGUGCUGUCUCCACUAGGUAGGGAGUCCACUGUCCUGAGGCACUGGCUAGGGAGGGGCACACGGACUCAGGCCCAGGGGCACGGGCCACCCCAACCUGCCCACACACAGUUCAUUCCCCUUGGCUCAGAGCUGUGGCCCGCUCUUGAACCUGGCCCAGGUACAGCAGGUAGUACCUGAGGGUGUACUGUGGGGCCGGCCAGCCGGGCACUGUGGCCACCGCCUCAUCUGACAUGAAGGCCUCCAUCUCUGGAGCUCCAGCUGCCAGGACUGCUGUGAACAGCGAGGAGAAGCAGCCAGAC
rnacentral:lncRNA from 10 species